rnacentral:rRNA from 1 species
ACGGUAACAGGAAGCAGCUUGCUGCUUCGCUGACGAGUGGCGGACGGGUGAGUAAUGUCUGGGAAACUGCCUGAUGGAGGGGGAUAACUACUGGAAACGGUAGCUAAUACCGCAUAAUGUCGCAAGACCAAAGAGGGGGACCUUCGGGCCUCUUGCCAUCAGAUGUGCCCAGAUGGGAUUAGCUAGUAGGUGGGGUAACGGCUCACCUAGGCGACGAUCCCUAGCUGGUCUGAGAGGAUGACCAGCCACACUGGAACUGAGACACGGUCCAGACUCCUACGGGAGGCAGCAGUGGGGAAUAUUGCACAAUGGGCGCAAGCCUGAUGCAGCCAUGCCGCGUGUAUGAAGAGGGCCUUCGGGUUGUAAAGUACUUUCAGCGGGGAGGAAGGCGAUGUGGUUAAUAACCGCGUCGAUUGACGUUACCCGCAGAAGAAGCACCGGCUAACUCCGUGCCAGCAGCCGCGGUAAUACGGAGGGUGCAAGCGUUAAUCGGAAUUACUGGGCGUAAAGCGCACGCAGGCGGUUUGUCAAGUCGGAUGUGAAAUCCCCGGGCUCAACCUGGGAACUGCAUCCGAAACUGGCAGGCUUGAGUCUCGUAGAGGGGGGUAGAAUUCCAGGUGUAGCGGUGAAAUGCGUAGAGAUCUGGAGGAAUACCGGUGGCGAAGGCGGCCCCCUGGACGAAGACUGACGCUCAGGUGCGAAAGCGUGGGGAGCAAACAGGAUUAGAUACCCUGGUAGUCCACGCCGUAAACGAUGUCGACUUGGAGGUUGUGCCCUUGAGGCGUGGCUUCCGGAGCUAACGCGUUAAGUCGACCGCCUGGGGAGUACGGCCGCAAGGUUAAAACUCAAAUGAAUUGACGGGGGCCCGCACAAGCGGUGGAGCAUGUGGUUUAAUUCGAUGCAACGCGAAGAACCUUACCUGGUCUUGACAUCCACAGAACUUUCCAGAGAUGGAUUGGUGCCUUCGGGAACUGUGAGACAGGUGCUGCAUGGCUGUCGUCAGCUCGUGUUGUGAAAUGUUGGGUUAAGUCCCGCAACGAGCGCAACCCU